rnacentral:rRNA from 1 species
CACCGCGGUUACACGAGAGACCCAAGUUGUUAGACUUCGGCGUAAAGCGUGGUUAAGACUCCCUUUCACUAAAGCCAAACGCCUUCCCCGCUGUAAUACGCUCACGAAGGUAGGAAGCCCAAUCGCGAAAGUAGCUUUACUAGGCCUGAACCCACGAAAGCUAGGGUA